GGUAAGGUGGCCGAGUGGUUAAGGCGAUACACUCGAAAUGUAUUGGAUUCGUCCGCAGAGGUUCGAAUCCUCUCCUUAUCG
rnacentral:tRNA from 1 species